rnacentral:lncRNA from 1 species
UUUGUUGAAGUCGUCCGUUUCUGAAAUAAUCAAUUUAUUCCACAGAUCAUACUGUAUGUACUUUUUCAAUUUUUUCAGGGAGUAGUGAUUGCUGAUAUAAAUGCUGACAAUGGAAAAAAAAUAUCGGAAGAAUUAAAAAGAGAAUUUGGUUCAGAAAAAAUAGUAUUUGCACAAACAGAUGUAUCCAAUACAAAGAGCUUUGAAGAUGCAUUUGAGAUGGCGCUGAAACAUUUUAAAAACAUUGAUAUUCUUAUAAACAAUGCAGGAGUUUGUUUAGACAGCCAAUGGGAGAAAGAAGUUGAUAUAAAUUUG